AGUGAACGCUGGCGGUAGGCCUAACACAUGCAAGUCGAACGGCAGCACAGUAAGAGCUUGCUCUUACGGGUGGCGAGUGGCGGACGGGUGAGGAAUACAUCGGAAUCUACUUUUUCGUGGGGGAUAAUGUAGGGAAACUUACGCUAAUACCGCAUACGACCUACGGGUGAAAGCAGGGGAUCUUCGGACCUUGCGCGAUUGAAUGAGCCGAUGUCGGAUUAGCUAGUUGGCGGGGUAAAGGCCCACCAAGGCGACGAUCCGUAGCUGGUCUGAGAGGAUGAUCAGCCACACUGGAACUGAGACACGGUCCAGACUCCUACGGGAGGCGGCAGUGGGGAAUAUUGGACAAUGGGCGCAAGCCUGAUCCAGCCAUACCGCGUGGGUGAAGAAGGCCUUCGGGUUGUAAAGCCCUUUUGUUGGGAAAGAAAAGCAGCAGGCUAAUACCCCGCUGUUCUGACGGUACCCAAAGAAUAAGCACCGGCUAACUUCGUG
rnacentral:rRNA from 1 species